rnacentral:rRNA from 1 species
UAGCGUUGUUCGGAAUUACUGGGCGUAAAGCGCACGUAGGCGGACUAUUAAGUCAGGGGUGAAAUCCCGGGGCUCAACCCCGGAACUGCCUUUGAUACUGGUAGUCUCGAGUCCGGAAGAGGUGAGUGGAAUUCCGAGUGUAGAGGUGAAAUUCGUAGAUAUUCGGAGGAACACCAGUGGCGAAGGCGGCUCACUGGUCCGGUACUGACGCUGAGGUGCGAAAGCGUGGGGAGCAAACAGG